CGUCGCCUCUGUCUGCCACAUCUCUCCUCUGAACUGAGCUCGCAAACUGACAGCCCAGACCUGUGAGAGGGAAGUAGCAUGAAACAGGUAUUUCCAAAACACACCCACCAAUCCAAAAACAAAAAACAAAAACAAAAAACCAACCAGGACAGUGUUUGUAUACAUGCCACUCAAAUGAAAGCACUGAGGAUCCAUUCCAGAUCUUUCACAAAAUUUGGAUUUUUUGGUGCUAGAAGAAAAAGCUGCUUUUUAUUUUUUUUAAAUCACAUUAUUCCAGAUUAUUAUAUUAAUAAAUAUGAUGUCACAUGACAGUGUACCAGAAAGAAAACCUGGGAAAAAACAGCAGCUAUACCACUCUUAAUGGUAAUAAUAAUCAUAAAAAAUUUAUACCCUGCCCAUCUGGUAAGUGUGGAAAAGUCCACUGGCUAUGUUUUAUAUCUCAAAACAGUGACAAAAGCAUAUUCUAUGAGUUUUAUUCAGACCUGUAGUGCAUAAAACCACUCUGUGGAAAAAAUGGCAAUGCUCAAACUUUUUUUUUUUAAGGUGGGGGGAAUCAAACAUUCAAACUUUUUUUGGCCACAAGGUAUCUUGAAUUGCACUUAAAUGCAAAGUGUUUUAUAUUAAUUUGAAGCUUGAGAUAUGUAUUCUGGAUGGUGUUGGGUAUGUUUUUCAAAUAUUUCAUAGGCGACCAUUCCUGCUCUUGAGACUUGGAAUGAAAUUUUUGCAAACAGUGCAAAAUUGGGCAGAACUUCAUUCAGGGUUUGAACCGACAUCUGAUGCAUGAAAUUUUUGUUUUGUUAAAAAGAAAAGAAAAGAAAAUCUAGUUUUAAAACAGUUGAAAUGUAAGAACAUAAUCCCAUCAAAAUAACACAUAUUCAUUAAGCCCCGUUUUAUUUUGGUGGGCAUAUUAAGCACAUACUGAGAUCUACAUUGCCUUCUCCUUUGCCAUCAUAAGAAGAGCCCUGCUAAAUCAGGCCAGAGGCUCUAGAUCUAACCCAAUGCUCUCUUCUCCCAGAUGCCUCUUCUGAUUGGGAGCCCUCAAUCAGCACCUGAGCACAGCAGCACUCUCUGCACUUUCAGUUCCAGCAACUGGUAUUCAAACCAUACUGCCUCUGACAACAGAGAGAGCAUAGCUGAUAGCCUUAUCUUCCAUCAAUAGAAUGCAUUGGAGCUUCACACUUUAUUUACAGGAUUUACUGCUACAAUGUCAUGGGCUGGUUGAACUCAGAGGAACGAUGGGAGGAUCCAGCUGGGAACCCCAUGGGAAGAAGGGUCAGUGCGUGGGGACUGACGGUGGGACAACCAUGUGUGAUCAGAGGGAGAAGAUUGGGAAGAGGACGUGUCCAAAGCUGAAGAAGGAACAGGGCUAAGUGAGCAGGGGGAGCCUGCGGUAGAGAGCAGUCUAGAAGCAGGAGAAUCAGAGGAGGGAGGCCAAGAGGAGUCAAGCUGGUGAAGAGUCACAGGUGUUUCCCCCUCCUGCUACAACAAGCUCCUUUCCCCCUGAUCUCCCAGAACUAGGCAAGGCAUGAAAAGGGUGGAGGAAAGAUUGGCGAUGUACAGACACAGUUUCUGAUUGCUUACAGAAAACCCCAGAGAGGAAGAGACUUAGGCAGUUGUGGGAGGACUUUGCAACUGCCUCAUAGGAGGCAAGAUCUACUGGGAAGAUUUGCUGAGCAC